GACGAACGCUGGCGGCGUGCCUAACACAUGCAAGUGGAGCGACGAACCAGGCUUCGGCCUGGGGCAAAGCCGCGAACGGGUGAGUAACACGUGGGUAACCUGCCCCGAAGACCGGGACAACCCGAGGAAACUCGCGCUAAUACUGGAUGUGGUCACUGCUCGUAAGUGCAGUGAGCAAAGGAAGCUUCGGCCUCCGCUUCGGGAGGGGCCCGCGGCCCAUUAGCUUGUUGGUGAGGUAACGGCUCACCAAGGCUGCGAUGGGUAGCUGGUCUGAGAGGACGAUCAGCCACACUGGGACUGAGACACGGCCCAGACUCCUACGGGAGGCAGCAGUGGGGAAUCUUGCGCAAUGCGCGAAAGCGUGACGCAGCAACGCCGCGUGGGGGAAGAAGGCCUUCGGGUCGUAAACCCCUUUCAGGAGGGACGAAGCCCCGGGAGUGAAUAGCUCUCCGGGGUGACGGUACCUCACGAAGAAGCCCCGGCUAACUACGUGCCAGCCGCCGCGGUAAAAC
rnacentral:rRNA from 1 species